rnacentral:lncRNA from 1 species
AGAAAGUUGAAGAGUUCACCAAAGAUAACCCAAAUUGGAAGACUAAUAACUGGCAACAAAAUGAGAAUGAUAGAAAUGGUUACUAUCAGGAUUUCAAUAGUGAGAAUAAAGGCGGGAGUUAGCUCAAGCUCUUGGGAUGAUUGGGACCUCAAAGGUAGUAGGAAGGAAGAACCGCUUGAAAGAUCGACUCCACUAUCAUCUGGUAAGCAAUUUGGUACUAUCAACUCAAGCUCUUGGGAUGAUUGGGACCACAAAGACUCUCGGAAGGAAGAACCAGCUAAAGGAUUGGCUCCUCAUAAUCAUGAUGAUGGUUGGGCUGGCUGGGAUAAUAAUGCCAAAUGUGAUGGAUUUGAUAAUUUUUAUGAGGAUGAAUCUAAUAAGAAAGCUACUGGUCAUAAUGGGAAAUCAGAUGCCAAUUGGACAGGGGUAGGCUUUCUCUAAGGUUUGUAAAUUAUGCAAUAGUUCUUAGUAGAC